UACGGAGGGAGCUAGCGUUGUUCGGAAUUACUGGGCGUAAAGGGCUCGUAGGCGGCCAACUAAGUCGGACGUGAAAUCCCUCAGCUUAACUGGGGAACUGCGUCCGAUACUGGAUGGCUUGGAUUUGGGAGAGGGAUGCGGAAUUCCAGGUGUAGCGGUGAAAUGCGUAGAUAUCUGGAGGAACACCGGUGGCGAAGGCGGCAUCCUGGACCAAUAUUGACGCUGAGGAGCGAAAGCCAGGGGAGCAAACGGG
rnacentral:rRNA from 1 species